rnacentral:rRNA from 1 species
GAGUUUGAUCGUGGCUCAGAUUGAACGCUGGCGGCAUGCCUUACACAUGCAAGUCGAACGGCAGCAUGAUCUAGCUUGCUAGAUUGAUGGCGAGUGGCGAACGGGUGAGUAAUACAUCGGAACGUGCCCUGUAGUGGGGGAUAACUAGUCGAAAGAUUAGCUAAUACCGCAUACGACCUGAGGGUGAAAGUGGGGGACCGCAAGGCCUCAUGCUAUAGGAGCGGCCGAUGUCUGAUUAGCUAGUUGGUGGGUAAAGGCCCACCAAGGCGACGAUCAGUAGCUGGUCUGAGAGGACGAUCAGCCACACUGGGACUGAGACACGGCCCAGACUCCUACGGGAGGCAGCAGUGGGGAAUUUUGGACAAUGGGGGCAACCCUGAUCCAGCAAUGCCGCGUGUGUGAAGAAGGCCUCGGUUGUAAG